UACGGGGGGGGCAAGCGGUGUUCGGAUUUACUGGGCGUAAAGGGCGCGUAGGCGGUAGGACAAGUCAGGUGUGAAAUCUCCGGGCUUAACUCGGAAAGGUCAACUGAUACUGUGCGACUAGAGUGCAGAAGGGGCAACUGGAAUUCUCGGUGUAGCGGUGAAAUGCGUAGAUAUCGAGAGGAACACCUGCGGCGAAGGCGGGUUGCUGGGCUGACACUGACGCUGAUGCGCGAAAGCCAGGGGAGCGAACGGG
rnacentral:rRNA from 1 species